rnacentral:rRNA from 1 species
GAAUUGACGGGGGCCCGCACAAGCGGUGGAGCAUGUGGUUUAAUUCGAUGCAACGCGAAGAACCUUACCUGGUCUUGACAUCCACGGAAGUUUUCAGAGAUGAGAAUGUGCCUUCGGGAACCGUGAGACAGGUGCUGCAUGGCUGUCGUCAGCUCGUGUUGUGAAAUGUUGGGUUAAGUCCCGCAACGAGCGCAACCCUUAUCCUUUGUUGCCAGCGGUCCGGCCGGGAACUCAAAGGAGACUGCCAGUGAUAAACUGGAGGAAGGUGGGGAUGACGUCAAGUCAUCAUGGCCCUUACGACCAGGGCUACACACGUGCUACAAUGGCGCAUACAAAGAGAAGCGACCUCGCGAGAGCAAGCGGACCUCAUAAAGUGCGUCGUAGUCCGGAUUGGAGUCUGCAACUCGACUCCAUGAAGUCGGAAUCGCUAGUAAUCGUGGAUCAGAAUGCCACGGUGAAUACGUUCCCGGGCCUUGUACACACCGCCCGUCACACCAUGGGAGUGGGUUGCAAAAGAAGUAGGUAGCUUAACCUUCGGGAGGGCGCUUACCACUUUGUGAUUCAUGACUGGGGUGAAGUCGUAACAAGGUAACCGUAGGGGAACCUGCGGUUGG